rnacentral:rRNA from 1 species
AGAACGAACGCUGGCGGCAUGCCUAACACAUGCAAGUCGAACGAGACCUUCGGGUCUAGUGGCGCACGGGUGCGUAACGCGUGGGAAUCUGCCCUUGGGUUCGGGAUAACAGUUGGAAACGACUGCUAAUACCGGAUGAUGACUUCGGUCCAAAGAUUUAUUGCCCAGGGAUGAGCCCGCGUAGGAUUAGCUAGUUGGUGAGGUAAGGGCUCACCAAGGCGACGAUCCUUAGCUGGUCUGAGAGGAUGAUCAGCCACACUGGGACUGAGACACGGCCCAGACUCCUACGGGAGGCAGCAGUGGGAAUUUGGACAAUCGGGGAAACCUGAUCCAGCCAUUCCGCGUGAGUGAAGAAGCCUGGUGUAAGCUCUUUGCCGGAACGAACGGUGAGUCGU